rnacentral:rRNA from 1 species
GUCUAUGGCCAUAUCACCCUGAACGUGCCUGAUCUCACCUGAUCUUGGAAGCUAAACAGGGUCGGGCCUGGUUAGUACUUGGAUGGGAGGCAGAGAACAGCCCAUAGGCA